AUUGAACGCUGGCGGCAGGCCUAACACAUGCGAGUCGAACGGUAGCACAGAGAGCUUGCUCUUGGGUGACGAGUGGCGGACGGGUGAGUAAUGUCUGGGAAACUGCCCGAUGGAGGGGGAUAACUACUGGAAACGGUAGCUAAUACCGCAUAACGUCGCAAGACCAAAGUGGGGGACCUUCGGGCCUCACACCAUCGGAUGUGCCCAGAUGGGAUUAGCUUGUUGGUGAGGUAAUGGCUCACCAAGGCGACGAUCCCUAGCUGGUCUGAGAGGAUGACCAGCCACACUGGAACUGAGACACGGUCCAGACUCCUACGGGAGGCAGCAGUGGGGAAUAUUGCACAAUGGGCGCAAGCCUGAUGCAGCCAUGCCGCGUGUAUGAAGAAGGCCUUCGGGUUGUAAAGUACUUUCAGCGAGGAGGAAGGCAUUGUGGUUAAUAACCGCAGUGAUUGACGUUACUCGCAGAAGAAGCACCGGCUAACUCCGUGCCAGCAGCCGCGGUAA
rnacentral:rRNA from 1 species